GCCGCCUGCACCUGUCUCGGCACCAGGAUAAGGUGCCACAGCACAAGGGAAAUUGUGGGUUUCUGCAGUAAACAAGAUAGCUAGGUCACUGGUAAUCAUGCCCAAGAAGCAUGCUGAACCAGGCUUGAUCGGUCGCAAUUGCUUCACUUGAAACCCCUUGAUAGCGCUGGAAUUAUCUUUGAAACCAAUAACCGAAUUGCUUGGAUUUGCAAGCAAAGUGUCGAACCAGGCUUGAUCGGUCGCAAUUGCUUGACUCGAAACCCCUUGAUAGCGCUGGAAUUAUCUUUGAAACCAAUAACCGAAUUGUUUGGAUUUGCAAGCAAAGUGCUCUUGACGAUCUGCAUAAGAGUCUUAUCCACAGGUUGACC
rnacentral:lncRNA from 1 species